rnacentral:lncRNA from 1 species
AAGACUCCGUGGGCGUAGGACCCUCCGAGCCAGGUGUGGGAUAUAGUCUCGUGGUGCGCCAUUUUUUAAGCCCGUCAGAAAAGCGCAGUAUUCGGGUGGGAGUGACCCUAUUUUCCAGGUGCGUCCAUCACCCCUUUCUUUGACUCGGAAAGGGAACUCCCUGACCCCUUGCGCUUCCCCAGUGAGGUAAUGCCUCACCCUGCUUCGGCUCGUGCACGGUGCGCGCACCCACUGACCUGCGCCCACUGUCUGGCGCUCCCUAGUGAGAUGAACCUGGUACCUCAGAUGGAAAUGCAGAAAUCACCCGUCUUCUGCAUCGCUCACGCUGGUAGCUGUAGACCGGAGCUGUUCCUAUUCGGCCAUCUUGGCUCUCCCUCGUCUUAUUGAUUGGAGAGCGAUUGAUUGGAGAGUGCAGACGUAUGCAGCAACAGGUUUGUCAGAUGUGGUGGUCAUUGCUCUUACUCCAGCUUUGCAUCCUAGAAUCAUUUGGAAGAUAUAUCUAAGAAAAAACAACUAAGACAAUUUAACACGACUGUAUUUGGAGAAAAAGUCCUUAAAGAGGCAAACUUAAAUAAGGCCAUCAGAGUGGGUCAUAGUCCAGUCAGACUGGGGUUCCUACAUGACAAGAUUAGGACACAAAGAGAGACACUGGGGACGCCCUUGAAGAGGGGAAAGACCAUGAGAAGACACAGCAAGAUGAUGGUUAUGUGCAAGCCAAGAAGCCAGGCCUCAGGAGAAACCAAACCUACAAGUAUGUUGAGCUUGAACUUCUAGCCACUACAGCUGUGAGAAAUAAAUAUCUGUUGUUUAAAUUGCCCAAUACUUUGUAUGGCAAGCCUAGCUCAUACAGAUAUAUUUUUUCUUUUAACACAGUAACUAAGACUACAAAUUCAUGAUAACUUUACAGGUGUAAUUCCAAGAUUCUCCACCCCUAACAGGCUAUUAAAAGAAUUGUAACAUAGGAUGAUGUUAAAGUAAUUCUCAUACAUUCACGAUAAUGUAUUCUUCCAUAUAAUGGGGGGUUAUUAGAUCAAGUUCUAAAGGUAAAUAUUUCCUUAGCAAUGUUGAAUGUCUUAUCUAUUGUUUCUUUUAUUAAGAUUUGUUUUCUGUAUCUCGCAGGAACAUUGUUGUUCUAGAUUUUAUAUUCAGGAUAUUGUAUUUCUGAAGCAAAAUGAUACGAAAUAUUGCCAAACAAAAUAAAAUAUAAAGAGUACUUGAACAGUAUUAUAAGAGAUAAGAUAAAGAAAGGCUACUGUUUAAAGUAGCCAAUAUUUUAAGAUAUAAUUCAGGUCCUAAAUGUUUUAUAUUACUCUCAGCAUAAAUACAUUGUCUAAACAUUUGCUUCAGGUUAAAUAUAAUUAUACAUGUUAAGUCUUUCUUGUUUAGAAACAUUAUCUCAUAUAAUUAACCAAAAUUUUACACUAAAAUUUGUAGCAUCUGUAAUAACGUUCUUCAGCAAAUUCCAUGAGGAUGGGAAUGUACUUCCAUUACUUCCCUCAGUUGUUAAGUAAACUCUUUUAGAAGAGUAAAGAAAGUGAAAAAAAAUUAUUCAUUGUGUCUGCCUAAUGAAGAAAAUUUAGUACAUUUUAUUUCACAUGUAUAACUGUUUCUUCACAGCAAAGGCAUUAUGGCUGAAAUUUUUUUUUACUUGAUAGGCAGUUUUAUUAGUUUUCAUGUAUAUAGGUAAGUGACCUGUCCUUUGUUUAAAUUGAUUUUGUUCAGAAAAAAGAAUUUCAUUCAUCUGGAUUUGCAAUGGUGGUAAAAUGAGAAAAAGUGUCCUAUAGAUUACCACAUUUUAAAUAUUUUACCUUGAAUCGUAAACACUUCACUCUAGUAGGUACUUUAGAACUCAGUUGUUAUUUGUCCUCUGAAUAUGAUAUACCUUUAUAUGAGAAACAGACUCCUAACUAUGUUUAUUUUUCAGUUUUUUUUUCUUUAAUAUCUCCUUGGAAAUAACCACAAUAAUCUGCCAUUCUAAAUAUUCACGAUCCUUCCAGUCAACAGUCACUCUUUAGGUUUAACCUUUGCUACUGGACAAAUAUUUCUUUUUGCUUAAUUGUGAUUAAUUAAGUGAUGAUAACUUCAAUUUCAAAUUGAAAUUUGACACCAAAUCAUUUUUUUUUCUUAUGGGUCUUUCCUUGGGUUCUGCAAAAUACUCUGCAACAGUCCUUCUAUUGGUCAGGCUCUCUCAGACAAUAUCCAGGCAUUUACAGAAGUUUGAAGAACAUGUUAACAUCAAUAUUAAAAACAGCAGGAGGCAGCUGAAUGCCUAGGCAGACAGGGAUGAGUCCCCAGUGAAACUCCACCUUCAAGCCAAAGUAGCCUAAAACCCACGGCCCAAAGUGAAAACUUCUAUUCCUGUUGCCUGCUUUCUCUGGAUUGGUUCUUUCUGAAUAAUGUCUUUUGACCAGUUGAAUGUUGCCUUUUCCAAAAAUACCUACAGCCUGCCCUGUCCCCAUCCUGUGCCUUUAAAUUCCCCAUACUCAGUUAGUAGAGUGGGCAGACAGUUGGACUUUGGGGAAGAGAGUUAGCUUGACUUUGGGGAAUAGACAACUGGACUUUGAGGAGAAGAUGACCUCACUUCAAGAAAGACUACCUGCCCUUCCCAUUCACUCUCCAGCUCCCCUCUCCACUGAGAGCCAUUUCCACUGCUCAGUAUGAUUCUCUGCCUUCACAAUUCUUCAAGUCCCUAUGUGAUCUCAUUCUUCUUGAACAAGGACAAGAGCUCAGGAUCCAAUAAGUGUGGGUACCCAGAAAGGCAGUCCCACCAGCCCUUUGCCCUCACCAAUGGAAGGCAGUCACCCCAUGUCACAAGGCAAGGGGCCAACUGAGCUGUUAACACACAGCCGUCGGAAGACAACGGAAUUAAAGGAGCAAUGUAACGUCCCUUUGCUGUUCUCAUGAGAGUGAAUGAUUUCUCAGGAGAUACAGUUGUUUAGAAGUGUGCGUAUGUUUAUUGCAGCAUUAUUCACAAUAGCAAAGACUUGGAACCAACCCAAAUGUCCAACAAUGAUAGACUGGAUUA